GCCCUUCCCCUUUCCCCUACCCCUAUUCAAAAAGUAGAAUUGGGAUAGCCAUUAAGCCUCGUGAACGUGCAUAUCAUAGGGGUAGGGGUAAGGGGUAGGAUUGGGAUUGGCCCUUUGCAUAACGAGCAUGCUGACAGUGUGCACACAAGAGCUCAGUGGCAUAACAGAGCAGAGUUUAUGUCUCCUUAAACCUAAAUACAGAUAAUAUUCUCAAAUAAAGGCAACAAAUAAACCAAAAAUGCUUCCUGAAACAGCAACACUGCCACCAAAAUUACAAUGUUUUUACAUUUACAUACAAAAUAAAAUCUUGUAAUUUUCCAAUACAAAACCAUUAUAAUCAGUCUCUUAACUGUUGACCUUCAUGUAAACACUUUACUCAUGUUGUACAACUAGUUUCUGAACUGGUCUCUCAAGACAAGACACUUGCUUCAAGCGUUCACCCUUCUUUCCAAAAUCUCUUUGUCCCAUCUAUAUUUUAACCUUUCACGCCAAACCAUCAUCAUCUCUGUUUGCUUCAACAACUUCUGCUAGUUUCCACUCGUUUCUAGGAAUGUUGUCUUGUGGCAAAAAUCAAGAAUCAAAAAUGACAAAGUAGAUUUUCUUAACCUGCCUCCUACCCUCAGGAUGUCCUCAUCAAGAAUAGGAUCAAGUUGAUUCAACUUACUGUUUUUUGUACAGUUUGCCUGUUUUGACUCAACUGUUUCAACUCUUGUUCUAAAGCUUCUCUUUGUGCAGCUUUGAGGAGUGAUAAGAAUCUCUCUUCAACACUAACUGGACCUGCUUUGUCUCCUUUUGUGAGUCUUUUUAUCCUUGCAACAACAUGAAGCUCUGUAGUCCAGUCUGACAAUCUAGAGAACCUCUUAAGAAAACCGUCUCUCCCUUAUGCUUGUGUUUUUAGAGUUUUCACUUCAGGUUCUCCGACUAAAAGCUCUGGAGAAUGUGGCUUUUGCUCCCAUAGAAAUGUCAGUCCAGUGAUCCAGUUAGCUUCUAUAAGCUCUGCCUGAGUCCUCUUGAUAUGAUCGGCUGGAGUUUGGUCUGAUUCAAUGUAAUUUUAUUGGUUUGGGUUUAUGAGGUCUCUGAUUUUCUGCACUCUGUUGGCUACAAACACAUGAAAGUGCUUCAUUUUUUAUGUUCCCAAGCACCAACUGAGAAUCUGUCCAGAAAAACUCCUCAUCUAUCUUCGGCUCCAGCUCUGCUCUGAGGAAGUUUCUCCUCCUGCAGAAACUCCUCCUGCAGUGAGCUCCAGGCCUGGUAUUGUGACUCUUGUGGGCGCUACUCUGGCCUUUGCCAUGACCAGGUGCAAUCCCCGACACUCCGUGUGCCGUGUGAGCACCACUUUGCACUGUGCUGCGCUGCUCCGACGUGCCGUGUGGACACGCUUCACGUGGAGGAUGAAUCGGCCUUGAAUCUGCUCCUGCGGCUGCAGUGCAGCUUCAUCUCACGAAGACUCAGUGAUGGAGGACGAAGAGGAGCUUAAACAGGAGAUGCUGAAGAUCUCUCCUUCCAAAUAUAGAGGUAACUUAGGAGAGUUAGAGUCAUGUGACUCACCAGUCCAGUGUUUUGUUUUUCCUGUGUCUCUCUCUGUGUUCAGCUCCCUCAGAGUCAGCCAGCAGCCACACAGCUGUGCCCUCCCUCACAGGUCGACCUCGUCAGGUCUCAAAUGGGUUCACUUCCUGAUCCAGAUGUUCAGUGUGUUCGUUUGGCCUCGUUCUGGCUUGUUCUGCUGCAUGCGUUCUCUCGUUCUUCUGUUAUACUAAGAGCAUGCAAUUCAACAAGAAAGGUAAGUGUUUCUGCAUGCUUCAUACCUGGAUCUGAAAGAUGAGGUAUGUGAAAUGCAUUUGUAUAUCAUAUCUUGUCCUGCCCUCACACUCCGUUGUGAGGCAGGUAGUUAACCAAUGUUCAGAAACCACACAGUGGUCUUUAAUAAUCACUGAUCAAAUGGUAAAAGUGCAAUAAAACAAACAGACAUAGCAUCAGAGCUUGGUGAAUAAUAAACAAGCAUGCUACCGCUAGCUUACGACUAAUUAGCGUAUAUGCUAACACUACAAAUAAACACAUUUUCAGAAGCACUACUGAUAUCAAACAUUUCAAAACACAAAAUAACACUCAGUGCAACGUCUAUACAUCAUAUUUAUCAACUUACAGGCUGUGCUGGCCCCAAGAUACAGUGUAGAAGACACAGAAGACCCGUUCUUCUCUCUCUCGGUUGGACAGGAAGUAAGCGGCGAGACUUCCGGUUUGAUUUCAAAAUAAAAACGAACCAUAAAGAACACGAAAAUAGAGAAAGACAGUUGCUCCUGUCCCUGCUGUUAGCACAUGGCCCAGGACAGCUGACUCCAGCACAGUUCCUCCUCAGCUGUUGGCUAUUGCUUCACAGCUUGGCGUUGAUGAACAGCAACCAGCUCCUACACAAGCCCCUGAAGCUCCACUCACUGUCCACCACCCCCCAGCUUCAGGGGAUCCUGACAUCGCCCACUGGAAGUGCUCUCACCAGCAGAAGAUCUGGAUGAGGAUGGAGCUGCAGACUCCAGGACUGUGGCCUGGUUCUGUCCCGGGAUGAGUUCCCUUUUCCUUGUGGCUCCAUCCUCCUCAGCCUGAUACAGCCACAGAGCUCCCCUCUCCUGAACAUUUCCAGCUCCAUCCGGUUUAUAUUUGGAAGCCCAAAAAUAAAAUUAUGGAGAGGCAGCGAAAUAAUGACACCCUGCCCUGUCUGCACAGCUGCACAAGUCCUCAGGUAGUUUCUUCUGGAGUGGGUCAGCCUCAAGUCAUCAUCAAGUCAUCAUUGGCAUCAGCGGGCAGUACUAUAUUUUUGAAUCCAGACUUACCUGCAAAGUCUGCAGAAAGUACUGGCAUGCUGACAACCCCAAGUGGCUCGAGAAACUACCGAAACGCUUCAACACAGUUGUGCCUGCUUUCAUCACCUACAAGAAGGCCGUAUGUAAGUCAGUGAUGGGCGAGCUGCGGAGGAGCGGGAGGUCGCCUGAGGACAUGGCCAAGCAGUUGUUGGAGGGGCUGCAUCUUAAGUGUGAGCGGGCACAGCUGGCUUAUCUCCUCAGUGUGCAGAACAUCUGGGAUGCUGAGGCUGGAGUCUAUGGCCAGAGAACCAUCACAGCCCAUCUGAGGCAGAGGGAAGAGCCAACGGCAAUCGGGGGAUAUGGAGUCUGAUGGAUGGGCUGGAGUGUCUGUUUCCUCCAUUCCCUGGUGGACUGCCUGGUCCCGGAGGACCAGCGGCAGGAGCAGCUCUUCACGCUGCUGCUGCAGGCCACAUGUGGUCAGCUGCUGAGGUCAGACCACACUUGUAAAGUGGCAAGAAAGGUGGUGCUUUCUUCUGGCACAAUGUCAUCUUAUGCUGUGAUGAGUGAGCACCGGACCGUUCUCACUGGGUCAUGCUGCAGUGGGAGUGUGAGCGCUCUCUGGGUCCCAUGUACGAGGGCCUGGCUUCAGCUCAGGAUCCAGGAGCGUCUUCUGUGGGACAGCUGGAGAACCACAGAUGCUGUUGUAGCAGAGGCCACUUCUGGUGAACUCACCAAUGUCUCUGCAUCCAGACUCAAGUUCAACAAGAACAUCAGCGUGAAGUUGGACUUGUUUCACUGUAUGUGACGUCUCACCAGGGAGUGUGAGUCAGAGCUCCGUCCUCUCUACAGCUAGUUCUGCCAGUUCCUCUCUGCUGCCUUUGUUGUUGUGGACCAGGAUGACCUAAGGAAGCUGAGAGAGGCCGACACUUUCUGUGGGAUCCCUCCACCAAAUCCCACCAAGCAGCACGUCCCAGAGCACUGCAGGACCAAGGUGACUGGAAAAGAGAAGUACCCGGCACUGAAGACACCUCAGCAGGACACGGGGGAGAUUCGGACUGCAGUAUGUGGAGCCUAGCUGCCGCCCGGUUGUCUUUAACUGGGAUAAGAUGGAGGUUGGAGCCACUGGAGAGGUUGUAGUUGCAGCUGUGCUUCCCUCUGCUUCCCAGGAUCCCCCUUGUGCCAAUCCAGUGUCGCCUCACAAAACUGAGACAGACCUGCCAGGACUGGCCUGGAGCAGCUCCUCGGGCCACCUGUACUGGACCAGUUAAAGCCGGAGGCCUGAUUCAUGUGCUGGACCACAGUCGGUGGACACAGGAGAUGAAGAAUGCCAUUGAUGGUCUGCUGGUGAAGCACCGUGGGACAAAGGACAUGUUGAGGAAGGUUGAUGCUGAGUAUGCGUCCAUGGUGCAAAGUACCUGCACUGACCCCAACAGCCUUCUUCAUCCCACAACAUGGCAGCAUAUCUCUAGAUCUGUGAAACACCAGGCCAAGUUGAAAAACACCCACUCUGUCCUGAACAGCAGCUCAGAGGAGGAGGUCUCUACACAGCAGCUCUGGAACAGUCUGACCACAGGCAGUCAGACCACCAUACUUUAAUGUCCAUUUAACAGGCUUUAUUGAGUUUACAAAACCAUCUAAAGAAUAAUGCAGGAUGGCACAAAUCAGUCAAAGACUGUGUUCACCCAGUCACACACACACACACACACACACAUACACAUUCAUUAUUCAACCCAAAUUGUAUAAAUUGUAAACAUUUUUAUGUCUUUAUAUCCUCUUUUGUUGUUAAAACAAAGUUAGUUUAUCAUGUUUUAUUGUUGUUUAAACAGAAACGUUUGCUGUCAGUCCAGGGCGAGCACGGCCCCACAAUACCCGCCCAUGCAGCCGGGACUGCUGAGGCCAACAUAAAGAGCAUUAACAGUAGUCCAGUCUGGAACUGAUGAAAGCAUGGGUCGUCUUUCCCAGAUCCCUGUGGCACCCCACAAGGGAGGGAAGCACAAGAGGAGUAGAGGUCACCAAUCCAAACACUGAGGACUCGCACUGGACGCCUCUACAGAUUCUGCCACUGAAGCAGGGUCCAAACAGCCCUCACAUUCACACUGGCUGUCCUGGAGUUCCUGGGAAGGACAUCUACUGUCCCUCAAAGCUGCUCUCUCUGUACAGGGACCAGGGGUCCACCAAGGAACUGUCGUAGAUGGACUUCCAAAGGUCUGCCUUCUCUGAGGCUGAGAGGGACAGAGGGACCAGUGAUGAUUCAUUGGUCACACUGGACUGAGUAUUGUCAUGGCCAUUACCAUUAUCAUUUAUUUUUUGUGUAAAUAUUUUCAAUUUCUGUAAAUAUCGUACAAGAGUUUAUUUAAAUGGGAUGUUUUGGGAAGCUAAAUGUGCAUAAAAUCAGUUUGUGCUUGUUUUUUCUCUCUUUCUUAUUGUAAAUAUUUUUAUUUACCAAACUACAGUAUUAUGUAUUUGAGCUUGUAUGCUGUAAAGUGCUGAGUGUUGUGUGUAGCCUAUACUUUCACAGUUAUGUACCGUCUCACUACAAAUUCUUUAAAUCUCUUGGUUGUUUUAUUUUUUCCCUUUAAAUUUGGUUAUCAUUGUCUUUUAUUACAGUAAAUUGAUUUAAUGUAUUAAUAUGAAGCUUGCAAUCUUUUUUAAUU